rnacentral:lncRNA from 1 species
AGGUGGUGCCAUCUAGAUGGAUUAGUUGUUGCUUCUUCAUGGCCUCUUCAGCCUCAAGUCUUAUUAAUAUAGUAAAAGUUACCAUCAAAAGAAUGAAGCUACUUGUACCAAAAAACUAGAAUGAAGUUACUCCUAAUAUAUGGUUUUGUAUAAAUUAUGCUGUAUUUAUGUGGUGCCAUCUAGAUGGAUUAGUUGUUGCUUCUUCAUGGCCUCUUCAGCCUCAAGUCUUAUUAAUGUAGUAAAAGUUACCAUCAAAAGAAUGAAGCUACCUGUACCAAAAAACAGAAUGAAGUUACUCCUAAUAUAUGGUUUUGUAUAAAUUAUGCUGUAUUUAUGUGGUACAAUCUAGAUGGAUUAGUUGUUGCUUCUUCACGGCCUCUUCAGCCUCAAGUCUUAUUAAUGUAGUAAAACUUACCAUCAAAAGAAUGAAAGGUCUUAUAUAUAUAAGAUCUUUCUUGCCG